CCACCACAUCACAGGGGACUUUUGCCCAGGGUUUAUAAGAAGGUCAUUUGAAUUGCUUUACAGCUAAGAACCACCUUAGGAAUUAACUGUGGGGCCUCCUAUUAAUCUUGUUGUAUUUAUGCAGUGUUAACAUUGGUUCUGGGUUCCUUAUGAUUUUUGAAUUUAAAUGGUUUCUUCUAGUUGGUGAUUCUGCUCUAACCCACAGUUUCUCUGAAGAUGCUGAGAAUUAAUUUAUCUGCUGUGUUUGUAACCCAAAAUAAAAGCAAAGAUAAGAACAAAGGAGGUGAAACAUCUGGGACACUGGAGAUACCUGUGGACCAAGACUAAUUCAGCAGCACUCCCAUUCUGCUCAGAGCUAGAUAAUAAGCUAUGCUGACACAUGAGGCAUUCACAGUGGCACAGUUGCUCAGAGUGACAGUCAUCCCUUGGUAGAAAAUGUUUUAAUAUGAAAACUUAGUAGAUGUAAUGGCAAUUUUCUUUGGGAAUAAAUUGGUCUCUGAAUCAUACUCUAAAAACAUAAAGGAAAAAUGACUAAUAAUUCAGCACAAAAUGAAAACCUGUGGUUACCUAAGAGGUAUCAGUGUGCAUUUAGCAAUUUCUUCUUUUUCUAGGUGAAUAAGCAUGUCAGGUCCACAAGACAAAUGGUGGCUGUUGCCAGGCUUUCUUCCCAUUGCUACUCAAGAUUUGCUCCUCAGAAAAAGGAAUGAGUGGCAUUUCACCAAUAUGGAAAUGUUUCCAAUAGAGUAUAAAAAUCCAUUAAGCAAUUUUCCAGUACAUUAGGCUAAAAGUGCUUAAAACGAGUAUCUCUUUCUGUGACAAUUAAACAUCACACAAUUUGCAGUCGUAUAAUACCCCUAUGUACAAAGUGCUCGGUCAACUUGGCCUAUUUUAGUCAUUACUUUUGUACUUAUUUCCAUGUGUGACCUGGUACAGUCAAGGCCACUUCUCAAUUAUCUGGGAGAGAAUUUCCUAAUUUGAGGGUCACUCAGGCUUUCAUUAAGAGUCAUUCUUUUGAGCAGUUUGUAUAGACUCAAUGAAAAAGCCAAGCAACCAGUUUUCCUUAUAGCCAGCUUUAACAAAGCACGUGUGGUUUGAGAAUCUUGACUCUGGAUAAAAAUGACAAGUUACUAAAGAGAAGUACUGAUAACUUCUUGUCUACUUCUCUGUUUCCAACCUUUAUUGAUUUAUAGAUUUCAAAGACCAUGACUCAGGGAGCAUAAAAAUGUGGAACUCUGUAUGCAGAGGCUCAUUCCAGCAUUUUGGGAGGCCAAAGCAGGAGUAUCGCUUGAGACCAGGAGUUCGAGACAACCUGGGCGACACAGUGAGACCCACAUCUCUAUAAAAAAUACAUACAUUUUAAAAAAGUGAACAUGAAGGCUGAGCACAGUGGCUCAUGCCUGUAAUCCCAGCACUUUGGGAAGCCAAGGUGGGAGGAUUGCUUGAGCCCAGGAGUUUGAGACUAGCCUGGGCAACAAAGUGAGACCUCAUCUCUGCAAAAAAUCAAAAAAUAAGCCAGAUAUGGUGGUGUGCACCUCUGUUCUCUGCUAUAUAGGAGGCUGAGGCAGGAUUGUGUAAGCCCAGGAGGUGCUGCAGUCAUUGCACCACUGCAACUCCAGCCUGGGAGACAGAGUGAGACUCUGUCUCAGAAAACAAACAAAAAAAAAAACAGUGGAAAUGCUCACAUUGAGUAGCUACUUUUGAAAGUUACACAGUAUAAAUCAACUAUCAUUCAGAUCUGACAUCCCUUCCGUACCCUAUAUUUUUCAUCUUUAACCCUUUAAGCCAUUCUUCGGUGAAGACAAAUAAUCACUGAAUGUCGGCUUAGAAAAUGUGUAGGUGAUAUGCAUGGGUGGAAGACUUUCAACUAAUAGUAUUAGGAAAACGCUACAACUCUAGCGGGGAAUAAGAUCUAGAACAUUCCGAAAGCAAAAAGAUUGCUAUAGAAUGAUUCCAAUUAUUUUAAUGCCAUGUAAGAUGCCAUUAUAGAAACUGACAGUGCUCCAGUUCCAGCAACACGAAUGAGGGAAAUAAAAAUAUUUCACCCCAAAAUAUAUUUGUCAUAUUUUCAGAUGGCUGUUCAGAGAGCCAAAAGAAGCAGCCCUGCAAAGCUGUCUUUUUUGGAGAAAACUUGCAUUUGCAGAGAAUCUGCUUGAUGCAGCCAGGCCUUCCCUUGUCUGGAUCUCGGGAAGAUUAACUUAGUCUGACACUUUAAAGGUCUGAAACAUGCUGGACAUGGUGGCUCACAUCUGUAAUCCCAGCACUUUGGGAGGCCGAGGAGGCCAGAUCACCUGAGGUCAGGAGUUCGAAACCAGCCUGGCCAACAUGGUGAAACCCCAUCUCCACUAAAAAUACAAAAUUUAGCUGGGCAUGGUGGCACAUGCCUGUAAUCCCAGCUACUUGGGAGGCUGAGGCCAAGAGAAUCGCUUGAACCCGGGAGGCGGAGGCCACAGUGAACCAAGAUCGUGCCAUUGCAAUCCAGCCUGGGCAAUAAGAGCGAGACUCUGUCUCAUACAACAAAAAAGGUCUAAAACAUUUACCAUCUAUUCUUUUGAGGGCUGCCACCUGUGGGGCUUCAUUUACAUAACAAGACCACCUUUGCUAGCCAGGCUUCCCCUUCUCCAGCUCCCCGAACAUGUUAUGCCACUGAUCCGAGCCCACACUCUUUUUGUAACCUUUAGGUGGUAUUUAAGCUUCUAAACCCUAUUGGGUGGGGGUUUGGGGGGUAAUCACUCUGUAGCUCUCCCCUUCAUGCAAGCUAAUAUAUUGGUAUGCCUUUUCUCCAAUUAAUUUGCCUUUUCUCAGUUGAUUUUUCAGUGAACCUUCAGAGGGCAAAGGGGAAGUUUCCCCUUGGUUCCUACAGGAACCUAAGACCCACAGAGUGAUGGAAAAAGGAAAGGCUUUGGAGCCAGGCAGGCCCAAGUUUGAAUCCCAGCUGUACUGCUUAUUCGCUGAACAACCUUGGGCAAGUCAGUUAUCCUACUUAAAAACAGGAUAAUGUUAACUUCACACAGUUGUUUCAAGGAUUAGCAUUAAUGUAGAAAAUCAACUCAUCAGGCAUUGAAAAAAUGGUGGCUAUCAGUAUCAAUGAUCACAUCCCAAUCCAGUUAUGGACCUAACUUUAAGACUGCUGCUAAAUCCCAGGGAAUGAGUUCUGCAGGAGCAAGCAGUCCUGGCCUCAAGUCCGUAUAUUUGUGCAUGUUCCCCAUUUUGUUUUGCCAUUUGAACACAUUUUCAGCAUGUCUAGUGAUUCACCUAUAAAUGUCUUCUUCAAGUGGAUCUCAGCCUGCACAUGCUGCACAUUCUGAAACUCACAAGAACAGUAUCCUUGCUCCCCACAUUGAUUUUGGUCUUGUCUUCCACCUUAGAAAACUAGUAUAUGGUAUAAUACAGUAUUAAAGUUUUAAAGUACUAACUUUAUACACAACACUGCCCUCUAGCGACUAGAAUAAUUUUUUUUUUUUUUGAGACGGAGUCUCGCUCUGUUGCCCAGGCUAGAGUGCAGGGGCACGAUCUCAGCUCAAUGCAACCUCCACCUCCCAGUUCAAGCAAUCUUCCUGCCUCAGCCUCCGAGUAGCUGGGAUUACAGGCACGCACCACCACACCCAGUUAAUUUUUUUUAAUUUGAACAACAAUUUGACAAUUCUUUAUAAUAUUAAAGUUACAUGAUCCAGCAAUUCCACUCCUAGAAUUUAAAACCUGUCGGCCAGGCGCAAUGGCUAACGCCUGUAAUCCCAGCACUUUGGGAGGCCGAGGCAGGCAGAUCACGAGGUCAGGAGAUCGAGACCAUCCCGGUUAACACGGUGAAACCCCGUCUCUAUUAAA
rnacentral:lncRNA from 1 species